AUGCCUGUCGAAGUACAUGCUGGAACCAAUUGGUGGUUUGCUAGAGUACCACUCAUACAUUUUUGGAUUGUAGAGUUUCACUAUCCAAAUAGGUGCUUAGGAGGCCUAGAUAAACCUAUCCUAUAUCCUCGAGAUAGCAUUGAAUGGAUCGGGUACAUGCCCAGCGGUCCGCCAUUGGCUCGCAUUAGCCUACAUGAGAUAAGGAAUGCUGCACGGGGGAUCAAAUGUGCUACUACCAGUGGAUGCAAGAAGAUAGGCAAAUCUAUACUGAGGUCUUGUGUAGGAAAUUUGAUGGAUCUCAACUUGGAGCCUAGGUUGUGA
rnacentral:rRNA from 1 species